UUUAGAACAAAAUCUGGAGACUUGGUGUAAAUCCUCCUCGUACUUUAGAAAUGCAUGGCUUGAAUAUUGCUGCUGAUUCGCACCAAUGGCUUCAUACUGUAUGUAGUGCCGUAGAGCCAGUCUGACUUCUUAGAACAUGGUUUUUUCUCUCCUUCCCCAUAUCGUGAAAUAUAAUGCAGCAACAUCACGUUUAGUUAUGUAUUUUCCCUCUUCCCCAUCAGAACAUAACCUCGGUGAAUGCAGAAGUCCCCUGCCUCGUGUGUUGCCUUGUCCUGUUUACAGCACUGCCUGGAAUAUGGUAGGCCAGAAUCUCCCACGAUGCCCGGACACAAAACAUCUACCUGCGGGUGCUGAGGAAGACGGCAGGGAGCAUCCCAGGGAGGUCUCUAGCUAACCGAGGCCAGGUGAUGAGUAUCCUACUCUAAUUCUUAGAACAUUAGGUGAAUUGGAAAGAAAAGCAAAUCAACAAAACAUCCUUCCCCUCCUCAAAACAAAACAAAACAAAAACCCAAGCAAACAAGAAACCAACAACUAAAAAAAGCUCAGCCUGAUAGAGGAUAAAGCUGCUGAAGCUUUUUAUAAAUAGGCUUAUCUCAAAUGGAGGCAUUUAAGUGCUUGUGCCUGUGUGAGUGAUGCCAGAGAGAAUGAAAACUCAUUGUUUUUAUGUCUUAGGAUCCUUGGGUGAAAGAGCUUGGCACACACAGCCCAAACCUCCUGCCUGACACAUUUGCUGCUGAGGAAACGGAAGCUGAGAGAAAGGUCUUUGCCCAGUCACAGACUCAGUGAGUGAAGGCAAGGCCAGCCCCUGAGUGUAGGACAGGGGACCUCACAGCCCACACUGCUUCUUCUAGAACUCUCAGGCCUGACCUGCUGUGAGGCGAGGCUGCAAAACAACUGUAUAUUUUUAAUAUUCUGGCAAGCAUCCAGAUACUCUCAUGCGUCACAGAACCAUCCAAGGUCUGAAUUUAAGCCUCAGUUUUCAG
rnacentral:lncRNA from 13 species